rnacentral:rRNA from 1 species
CAUCCUCCAAGGCUAAAUACUCCUGACUGACCGAUAGUGAACCAGUACCGUGAGGGAAAGGCGAAAAGAACCCCGGCGAGGGGAGUGAAAAAGAACCUGAAACCGUGUACGUACAAGCAGUGGGAGCCCCACCACCAAAGCAUUCUCUGGUGUUGAAGGCCCUGCAAAGCAGCAUCGCGGUGGCGGAGCGUCGUUUGCGACGCCCAACACACAAAACAAGCGGUGAGUGCUUUGGGGUGGGGUGACUGCGUACCUUUUGUAUAAUGGGUCAGCGACUUAUAUUCUGUAGCAAGGUUAACCGAAUAGGGGAGCCGGAGGGAAACCGAGUCUUAA